rnacentral:rRNA from 1 species
ACUCCUACGGGAGGCAGCAGUGGGAAUCUUAGACAAUGGGGGCAAGCCCAUGAUCUAGCCAUGCCGCGUGAGUGACGAAGGCCUUAGGGUCGUAAAGCUCUUUCGCUGGAGAAGAUAAUGACGGUAUCCAGUAAAGAACCCCGGCUAACUCCGUGCCAGCAGCCGCGGUAAGUACGUAGGGUGCAAGCGUUAAUCGGAAUUACUGGGCGUAAAGCGUGCGCAGGC